CAAAGAAGUGUAUAACUGACCCGAUGCAGUGGAAGCAUACACUAGAAAGUUGAAGCAAACAUUGGUGUAUGAAAAUGCUGAAUCAUACUUGUUAGGAUACAUUUUGGGUGGAGUCUUGUAAUCAUCAUAUACUCACUUAUCUCCCUAAAAAGAUUUAUUUUGGUACUAAAACCUUCAGAAUGAGAAUUAAUGUAGCAAUUAUGGAUUGGAACGAAAGUGUCAAAAGACCAGAUACGAGUGAGCGGUAUAUCUUUGACAUUCGAAGACAAGAUAGGCGUACACUAUUCAAAGUGUUAGUUAAGAAGACAUACCAGUUUGCUAAUAAGGUGUGAAAGUCCUAAUGAACCAGUUGAAGAAGUGUCAAUUAGUGAGUUUCUUGAUGAUGAAGACAUUU